CCUACGGGAGGCAGCAGUGAGGAAUAUUGGACAAUGGGCGCAAGCCUGAUCCAGCCAUGCCGCGUGCAGGAAGACGCAUCUAUGGUGUGUAAACUGCUUUUGUACGGGAAGAAACACUCCCUCGUGAGGGAGCUUGACGGUACCGUAAGAAUAAGGAUCGGCUAACUCCGUGCCAGCAGCCGCGGUAAUACGGAGGAUCCAAGCGUUAUCCGGAAUCAUUGGGUUUAAAGGGUCCGUAGGCGGUUUAAUAAGUCAGUGGUGAAAGCCCAUCGCUCAACGAUGGAACGGCCAUUGAUACUGUUAGACUUGAAUUACUAGGAAGUAACUAGAAUAUGUAGUGUAGCGGUGAAAUGCUUAGAUAUUACAUGGAAUACCAAUUGCGAAGGCAGGUUACUACUAGUGGAUUGACGCUGAUGGACGAAAGCGUGGGGAGCGAACAGGAUUAGAUACCCUGGUAGUCCACGCCGUAAACGAUGGAUACUAGCUGUUGGGCGCAAGUUCAGUGGCUAAGCGAAAGUGAUAAGUAUCCCACCUGGGGAGUACGUUCGCAAGAAUGAAACUCAAAGUGAGUAGAGNGNGAGAGAGCGACGGACGACACGAGGGAGGAGG
rnacentral:rRNA from 1 species